rnacentral:lncRNA from 1 species
AAAAACAAAAACGGAUUUGCAGUACUUCACAAAGUUAGAAAGUGGGGACAGAACAUCUUGGAGAAGACGAUUCAGUAAAAGUUUAAGUAUCUGUCCAUGGGAACCAUUUUUCCUUUAACAUUCUGGCAAAAAGAUUUUCCAGCAAAUGGCCUAAGUAUACAUCUAAUUUAAUUUCUUUCCAAUUGAAGCUUUUGUUUGUUUUCAAUACUUAAUGAGUAUAAAACUAAAUGAAAAAGGCAACCUAAAAUAAUUUAAAUUUAAAAUUCACUCAGCAUUUCAAUAGGACAUUGGGAUUUUCCUGUUGAUAAUAAAUUUAAUCUAGGUGUCAAGUGCAUGGAAACAUGAUUUUGCUUUAAAAAAUAAACAGCCAUGCUUCCUUCUAUUGCACCAUCAGUCAUUUAAUUAUAGAAUAGUAUUUUAUGUAAAUUAAAAUUGGAUGAAUGAAGUAAAAGUAAUGAUUGUGAAAUGGGAGUAUACAACGGUUUAUGUGUGUGAGUAGUUGGAGCAGGGUGACAUCAUUGACGAGAAGUAAUUCAGAAAUUACCUUUUUAUUGGUAUCUUUUGUUAUUGCUGUCUUGAUAGAUCUGCAGCCAAGCCAGUGUGCUUGGAGAUCUCAUACGGCAGCAAGGCGCAUACAGUUCCUCUUCUUCCUUUCCCUUGGAGGUAUUACCUUUGAAUGGGUAAGGACAGGCCUAUUCAGUUCAUGGGUUGUGCACUGCAUAGCUGCACUAACAGCCUUAUCUUGUGAAUACAAUAUCUGUCAGCCAAAAAUAAUCACUGGAGUAAAAAGUAAACAAGGGUGGCUAGAUUGAUUUUUUUACAGUCAAGAAAGCCACAGUUUGACUUUUUAUGGCCAGAAUUCCUUGUUGUUAGCUUUGAUGUUGCUACAUGAUUUGAGUAUAUGUUAGUCUGCAAAGCUAAUCCUGUAACAUCUUUGGGGUAGAUGAUGCUAUAUAGGGCCAGGGAUUUAGCUCAGUGGUGCUGCCGCCUGCCACACAAGCACAAGGUCCCAAGUACUAUCCCCAGUACCAAAAAAAAAAGGCUCUAAAAAAUGCUAUAUAAAGGGAGUCUUACAUAGACUUUAUUAGUCCCACAGGUAUGAAGCUGGUACAGUACAUUGCUUUAUAGGAUGGGAAGCAUUCAAGAGAUAAAAAGGUUGAGAAGGGUAAACCUGAGAUUUCAGCAUGUGGUCUUUGAAGUGAAGUGAGAGAAAGAAAGCAUGUGCAGCAACUGAAAUGAGAAAUCAAGAUACUGUUUUAAGCAAGACAUUGCCUGAAUUACAGAUCAUCUGAUCACAGAAUUGUACAUAAUUCUUGAUCCCAUAUGGUUUCAUUUUAUUGUAAAUUUCCAUUUUCAUCAAAACAUAAUGAUAGUAAUGACUAAGUAAAAAGAAAAUGAUGUAUUGCUUUUCGUAUAAGUAUUUUCACAAAAACCAUUUGCCUAGGCAGUUAAAAUAUUACUUUGUUAAAAAAUA